AAGUUCCGUAACUUUACCCACCUGGGUCUUUGGGUCCAGGCAACCUUAGGCAAUUGCCUAUCAUUUGUACCUAGUGUGGACAAAAGCUUUGCCGUAGGGACUUUUUUUAUGAAUUAAAGAAGGGAGGGGGUUGGGUCACCCUACCCCAACUUUGGACCUCAAUUAAAAAAGUUCCGUAACUUUACCCACCUGGGUCUUUGGGUCCAGGCAACCUUAGGC